rnacentral:rRNA from 1 species
GACGAACGCUGGCGGCGUGCUUAACACAUGCAAGUCGAACGGCAAGGCCCUGCUUGCGUGCUGUGCUCGAGUGGCGAACGCGUGCGUAACACGUGAGCAACCUGCCCUAGACUUUGGGAGAACUUCACGAAACUGGGGCUACUACCGGAUAGGAGCUCCCGUUGCAUGGUGGGGGGUGGAAAGUUGCGGCGGUCGGGGAUGGACUCGCGGCUUAUCAGCUAGUUGGUGGGGUAGUGGCUUGCCAAGGCUUUGACGGGUAGCCGGCCUGAGAGGGUGACCGGCCACAUUGGGACUGAGAUACGGCCCAGUGUCCUACGGGAGGCAGCAGUGGCGAAUAUUGCCCAAUGAGCGCAAGCCUGAGGCAGCAGCGCCGCGGGCGGGAUGACGGCCUUCGGGUUGUAAACCGCUUUCGCCUGUGACGAAGCGUGAGUGACGGUAAUGGGUAAAGAAGCACCGGCUAACUACGUG